rnacentral:rRNA from 1 species
CCUCCUUUCUUCCUCCUUUCUGCCUCUUGGUCCAUGGGCGCGCGCCUGCACCAGCCAAGUAGCGUGAAGGAUGACUGCCCUACGGGUUGUAAACUUCUUUUAUAAAGGACUCAAGUGAGGCACGUGUGCCUUUUUGUAUGUACUUUAUGAAUAAGGAUCGGCUAACUCCGUGCCAGCAGCCGCGGUAAUACGGAGGAUCCGAGCGUUAUCCGGAUUUAUUGGGUUUAAAGGGAGCGUAGAUGGGUUGUUAAGUCAGUUGUGAAAGUUUGCGGCUCAACCGUAAAAUUGCAGUUGUUACUGGAAUCCUUGAGUACAGUAGAGGUAGGCGGAAUUCGUGGUGUAGCGGUGAAAUGCUUAGAUAUCACGAAGAACUCCGAUUGCGAAGGCAGCCUGCUGGACUGUAACUGACGCUGAUGCUCGAAAGUGUGGGUAUCAAACAGGAUUAGAUACCCGUGUAGUC